rnacentral:ncRNA from 2 species
AACGAAAUAAUCACUGUAAGCGAAGUAUAUAUGUACUUCAGGGAAUCAGGUGGGAAUCCUGAACAGUUCCGCUGCUGUAUACAGGGAGGCGAUAUCCAUUAUGCCACUGGAAGAAGUAUUUAUUCUUAUUCUGGGAAGGCGGAUAUUGCUUAUGAUCUGUGAGUCAGAAGACCGGCUUACAGGCAGAGCCAUAA